CCUCCUCUGCAGAGGGUGGGAAGAAAAGGAGGCCUGGGGCAGCCCAGCCCUACUGCGGGGAAAGAGGCUGUGUCCACCAUGGCCUGGACUCCUCUCCUCCUCCUGCUCCUUUCUCACUGCACAGGUUCCCUCUCCCAGCCUGUGCUGACCCAGCCAACCUCCCUCUCAGCGUCUCCUGGAGCAUCAGCCAGACUCACCUGCACCUUGGGCAGUGGCAUCAGUGUUGGUAGUUACAGCAUAUACUGGUACCAGCAGAAGCCAGGGAGUCCUCCCCGGUACCUUCUGUACUACUACUCAGACUCAAAUAAGGGCCAGGGCUCUGGAGUCCCCAGCCGUUUCUCUGGAUCCAAAGAUGCUUCAGCCAAUACAGGGAUUUUACUGAUCUCUGGGGUCCAGUCUGAAGAUGAGGCUGACUAUUACUGUGCUGUGUGGUACAGCAGCGCUUCUCACAGUGACACACACACAUGGGGAAGUGGAACAAAAACCUCACCCUGCUCUCACUCUUGUUCUGUGACAACUUUCAAAUUGACAAAAUAACUUUUCUGUUUAGAA